GAUGAACGCUAGCUACAGGCUUAACACAUGCAAGUCGAGGGGAAACGACAUCGAAAGCUUGCUUUUGAUGGGCGUCGACCGGCGCACGGGUGAGUAACGCGUAUCCAACCUGCCCACCACUUGGGGAUAACCUUGCGAAAGUAAGACUAAUACCCAAUGACGUCUCUAGAAGACAUCUGAAAGAGAUUAAAGAUUUAUCGGUGAUGGAUGGGGAUGCGUCUGAUUAGCUUGUUGGCGGGGUAACGGCCCACCAAGGCGACGAUCAGUAGGGGUUCUGAGAGGAAGGUCCCCCACAUUGGAACUGGGACACGGUCCAAACUCCUACGGGAGGCAGCAGUGAGGAAUAUUGGUCAAUGGACGAGAGUCUGAACCAGCCAAGUAGCGUGCAGGAUGACGGCCCUAUGGGUUGUAAACUGCUUUUAUAAGGGAAUAAAGUGAGUCUCGUGAGACUUUUUGCAUGUACCUUAUGAAUAAGGACCGGCUAAUUCCGUG
rnacentral:rRNA from 1 species